rnacentral:rRNA from 1 species
UACAGAGGUCCCAAGCGUUGUUCGGAUUUAUUGGGCGUAAAGAGCGUGUAGGCGGCCAGACAGGUCCGUUGUGAAAACUCGAGGCUCAACCUCGAGAUGUCGAUGGAAACCGUCUGGCUAGAGUCCGGAAGAGGAGUGUGGAAUUCCUGGUGUAGCGGUGAAAUGCGCAGAUAUCAGGAAGAACACCUAUGGCGAAGGCAGCACUCUGGGACGGUACUGACGCUG